rnacentral:rRNA from 1 species
CGGUUGAUCCCGCCGGACCCCACUGCUAUCGAGGUGGGACUAAGCCAUGCUAGUCGAACGAACAGAACUAUGUCUGUAAGUGGCAUACUGCUCAGUAACACGUAGCUAACCUACCCUUAGGACGUUAAUAACCCCGAGAAAUUGGGGCUAAUGAACGAUAGAUGUGAUGUCCUGGAAUGGUAUCACGUCCAAAGGUAUCUCAUACAUGUUUGGUAUACGCCUAAGGAUGGGGCUGCGGCCGAUCAGGCUGUUGGUGAGGUAAUGGCUCACCAAACCUUUGACCGGUACGGGCCAUGAGAGUGGUAGCCCGGAGAUGGACACUGAGACAAGGGUCCAGGCCCUACGGGGCGCAGCAGGCGCGAAACCUCCUCAAUGCACUAACGUGCGAAGGGGUUACCUCGAGUGCUAUCUGAAGAAGGUGGCUUUUCCUUGGUCUAAAAAGCCUUGGGAAUAAGAGGGGGGCAAGACUGGUGUCAGCCGCCGCGGUAACACCAGCCCCUCGAGUGGUGGGGAUGAUUAUUUGGCCUAAAGCGUCCGUAGCCGGCCGGGUAAGUUUCCCGUUAAAUCCAGCGUCUCAAGCGUUGGACUGCGGGAAAUACUGCUUGGCUAGAGAGUGGGAGAGGUCAGCGGUAUUCUGGGGGUAGGGGCGAAAUCCUUUGAUCCCCGGAGGACCACCAGUGGCGAAGGCUGCUGACUAGAACACGUCUGACGGUCAGGGACGAAAGCUGGGGUAGCGAACCGGAUUAGAUACCCGGGUAGUCCCAGCCGUAAACGAUGCAUGCUAGGUGUUGGGUUGGCCACGAGCUACCCCAGUGCCGCAGGGAAGCCGUUAAGCAUGCCGCCUGGGAAGUACGAUCGCAAGAUUGAAACUUAAAGGAAUUGGCGGGGGAGCACCACCAGGCGUGAAGCCUGCGGUUUAAUUGGAUUCAACGCCGGG